rnacentral:rRNA from 1 species
AGAAUGAACGCUGGCGGCAUGCCUAACACAUGCAAGUCGAACGAAGUCCUUCGGGGCUUAGUGGCGCACGGGUGCGUAACGCGUGGGAAUCUACCCUUAGGUUCGGAAUAACAGUUGGAAACGACUGCUAAUACCGGAUGAUGACGUAAGUCCAAAGAUUUAUCGCCUAGGGAUGAGCCCGCGUAGGAUUAGCUAGUUGGUGUGGUAAAGGCGCACCAAGGCGACGAUCCUUAGCUGGUCUGAGAGGAUGAUCAGCCACACUGGGACUGAGACACGGCCCAGACUCCUACGGGAGGCAGCAGUGGGGAAUAUUGGACAAUGGGCGAAAGCCUGAUCCAGCAAUGCCGCGUGAGUGAUGAAGGCCUUAGGGUUGUAAAGCUCUUUACCCGGGAUGAUAAUGACAGUACCGGAGAAUAAGCUCCGGCUAACUCCGCGCCAGCAGCCGC